rnacentral:rRNA from 1 species
UACGGAGGGUGCAAACGUUGCUCGGAAUCAUUGGGCGUAAAGCGCACGUAGGCGGACCGCUAAGUCGGAUGUGAAAGCCCUCGGCUUAACCGAGGAAGUGCAUUCGAAACUGACGGUCUUGAGUAUGGAAGAGGGUCGCGGAAUUCCCGGUGUAGAGGUGAAAUUCGUAGAUAUCGGGAGGAACACCAGUGGCGAAGGCGGCGACCUGGGCCGAUACUGACGCUGAGGUGCGAAAGCGUGGGGAGCAAACAGG